UAGUUUCACAGGAAACAACUUGAAUUGUGGUGUUGGUCAACCUCACCCUUGUGUAUCUGAGGUUGCCCGUUCAGGUGAUUCAAGCAAGCCAAAAACUGGCAUUAUUGCAGGAGUUGUUGUCGGAGUUACUGUCGUCCUCUUUGGAAUCUUAGUGUUCUUGUUCUGCAAGGAUAGACAUAAAGGAUUCAAACGUGACAUGUUCGUGGAUGUGGCAGGUUGGUUCGUGGAUGUUGCAGCUGUACCACCUCAAAUCGUUUUGGUCUGUUUUGUGUUGUGGUUUGUUUGAACUUUAGAUAGUGGUGCUGCUCAGAACAUCAACAUCCGAACCAGAAUGAAUUUAAAAAGUUUUACAAAGUAUUAAUCUAUAUUUGCUGUUAAGAUUUGCUUACUGAUCAUUAUCACUCAGAAAGAGAAAAAGGAUCAACGAUCGUUUCCAAGCAGUAAAAGAAAGAGACAUAGACAAGUCACUCAUAUCGGUUUGGUCUGAUAUGCUUGUGUUUUACAUAUGUAGGCAAGUUACUUAGCCUCGCUGAACCACGAGGAGACAAGGCUAGCGGUUGCAUGCGAGAGAACGUUUCUUGAAAUGCUGGAUGGCUCAUGCCGUAGUACUCCUAUUGCUGGAUACGCCGCCAAGGACGAAGAAGGAAACUGCUAUUUGAGAGGACUGGUUGCAUCUCCUGACGGUACUCAAGAUAUGUAAGCAUUCCUAAGUAUACCAAUGUGAUACAUGUUCUUACCUGUUCCAUCUUUGUGAUAGUUCUCGACACCUCAAGAAAAGGUCCAUAUGUGUUUGAGGACAUGGUGAAGAUGGGAAAAUACGCUGAUCAAGAACUGCUUUCGCGUGCUGGUCCAGGCUUAUUUGGCAACUAAAGCCAUUGUCAAAUGAACUGUUGUAACUUUUUUGAUUUUGAGCGAAAGAUAACCUUUGUUUUAUCAAUUGUAUUAUUAUAUUUAGAUAAAAUGAGUAAUUGUAACUUUUUCAUCCCACUAUGAACCACUCCCAAAAAACUAGAGUAACAAAAGAAGACUUUAGUUACAUCUCCGUUCAUCUUCCUCUUCAUCAACCGGAGUAUACCACCUUGGUCUUCUCUCGGAGUUACUCAGUCUGUAAUUCAGCUUCAGUUCUUCAUUGCAAAAUUUGAAAUAUUCUAAAUAUGUAGAUAUCACAUCCUUAGUUUUUGAUCUCAUUUCAAAUUUUUUAGUUUAAACUUUCAUAGAUAGCAACACUAAUAUUCAACUAUUCUGGAAACACAUCCAGAAAUUCCAUAACUCUUUCCAACAUUUAUAAUAUAAAAUUUAGUGUUAAAUACAUUAAUGUUUUAGCUAAUAACAGAUGAUUCUCCUCAGCGUAGCGGCUAAACUUCUCCUCUAGCGAAACUUGACAAACAGUUGCCUCAACCCGUGUUUGAUUCCCCCUGGAAUCAGAUCACUUUUUAUUUUUUUAGUUGAAUAAAAAUCAAUGCAUUAUAUCCAUUUACUUACAUAAACAAACAAUUGAAACACACUUGGCCUAAUGUUUCCACGCUCUUCUUCUUUUUCCAGAUAUCUUGGGUUCGAAUUGUGGUAGAUGCAAAUUUUUUCUUAUUUUUUAUCUCCAAAAUUCCAAAUCACAAUUUGAAAUUUCAAAAUAUGCAGAUAUCACAAUUUAAAAUUUUCCAAUUGUAAAGAUAAACAUGGACUAUAUGUAUCCUAAGUAAUAAAGUGAGGAGCCAAAUACACAUAAACCAAACAAAAAAAAACGAGCGUGAGAUGAUAUCACACCCUUAGUUUUUUAUCUCAUUUCAAUUUUUUUAGUUUAAACUUUCAUAGAUAGCAACACUCUUUGAUAUACGCUGAGCUUGAAUGUUGGUUUAUUGACAAUAUAUCUUUUGGCUUUGAACCAAUAGGGUAUUUUAGCUCAGGCAGUGCUAGUUUGAGAGGUACUGAAUCUCUCAUCUUGUUUCUAUCAUGUGUAAACAAGGAAUUAUUUUUUCAAAAUUCGUUACCAUCCGAUUUCCUUGAAGACUUUACCGAAAGUAUACAAAUCCUUCAUGAAAUUUUAAAAACUCUACAGUCUCAUGCAAAUUCACGAGCCUACCAAAGAUAUCAACAUGCAUAAGCCGAACAAGACACCAAGCAAAAAAAAUUUCAAAUUUGUUACCAUCGGAUUUUCUGGAAGGCUUUCCUGAAACUACACAAAUCCUUCCUGAAAAUACACAAAUCUUUCAUGAAAAUGUAAAAAACACUACACAGUUUCACAAGAACAAGCAACAAGAGACUAACAAUGUCAUAAGUAAAUUCACGAGCCUACCAAAGAUAUCAACAUGCGUAAGCAGAACAAGACACCAAUCAAUCGGAUUUUCUGGAAGACUUUCCGGAAACUACACAAAUCUUUCCUGAAAUUUUAAAAACUCUACACAGUCUCACAAGCACAAGCAGCACCAAGAAAAUAACAAUGUCAUAUGCAAAUUCACGAGCCAACCAAAUAUAUCAAUAAGCAGAGCAAGACACCAAGCAAAAAAAAUUUCAAAUUUUUUACCAUCAGAUUUUUUGGAAGGCUUUCCUGAAACUAAACAAAUCCUUCCUGAAAAUUUUAAAAACACUACACAGUUUCACAAGAACAAGCAACAAGAGACUAACAAUUUCAUAAGCAAAUUCACGAGCCUACCAAAGAUAUCUGCAAUAUCAACAUGCGUAAGCAGAACAAGCCACCAAGCAAAAAGUUUUUCAAAUUUGUUACCAUCAGAUUUUUUAGAAGGCUUUCCAGAAACUACACAAUUCCUUCCUGAAAUUUUAAAAAACACUACACAGUUUCACAAGCACAAGCAACAAGAGACUAACAAUGUCAUAAGCAAAUUCACGAACCUAACAAAGAUAUCAACAUGCGUAAGCAGAACAAGACACGAAACAAAUUUUUUUAAAAAUUUGUUACCAUUGGAUUUUCUGGAAGGCUUUCCUGAAACUACACAAAUCCUUCCUGAAAUUUUUAAAAACACUACCAGUUUCACAAGCACAAGCAUGUUUUUAGUCACAUCAAUUUUGGGUAUUCUUUUUAAUGAGUAGUGAGAAGGCAAAGAGAUUUAAUAUUCUUAAUAAGCCAAGGACUCUAACAAAACAAGCUCAAUGUAAAUUAAACAAUUAAACUAGUUAAAAACAAAGAUUU